GACGGAGGAGGCAAGCGUUAUCCGGAAUUAUUGGGCGUAAAGCGUAUGUAGGCGGUUUUAUAAGUCUGCUGUCAAAGACUGGGGCUUAACCCUGGGGGGGCAGUGGAAACUAUGAGACUAGAGUGCGGUAGGGGCAGGAGGAAUUCCCGGUGUAGCGGUGAAAUGCGUAGAUAUCGGGAAGAACACCAGCGGCGAAGGCGUCCUGCUGGGCCGCAACUGACGCUGAGGUACGAAAGCUAGGGGAGCGAAUGGG
rnacentral:rRNA from 1 species